rnacentral:rRNA from 2 species
GGGUUGUGAGGUUAAGCGACUAAGCGUACACGGUGGAUGCCCUGGCAGUCAGAGGCGAUGAAGGACGUGCUAAUCUGCGAUAAGCGCCGGUAAGGUGAUAUGAACCGUUAUAACCGGCGAUUUCCGAAUGGGGAAACCCAGUGUGACUCGUCACACUAUCAUUAACUGAAUCCAUAGGUUAAUGAGGCGAACCGGGGGAACUGAAACAUCUAAGUACCCCGAGGAAAAGAAAUCAACCGAGAUUCCCCCAGUAGCGGCGAGCGAACGGGGAGGAGCCCAGAGCCUGAAUCAGCAUGUGUGUUAGUGGAAGCGUCUGGAAAGGCGCGCGAUACAGGGUGACAGCCCCGUACACAAAAGCGCAUGUGCUGUGAGCUCGAUGAGUAGGGCGGGACACGUGGUAUCCUGUCUGAAUAUGGGGGGACCAUCCUCCAAGGCUAAAUACUCCUGACUGACCGAUAGUGAACCAGUACCGUGAGGGAAAGGCGAAAAGAACCCCGGCGAGGGGAGUGAAAAAGAACCUGAAACCGUGUACGUACAAGCAGUGGGAGCACAGGUUUACCUGUGUGACUGCGUACCUUUUGUAUAAUGGGUCAGCGACUUAUAUUCUGUAGCAAGGUUAACCGAAUAGGGGAGCCGGAGGGAAACCGAGUCUUAAUUGGGCGUUAAGUUGCAGGGUAUAGACCCGAAACCCGGUGAUCUAGCCAUGGGCAGGUUGAAGGUUGGGUAACACUAACUGGAGGACCGAACCGACUAAUGUUGAAAAAUUAGCGGAUGACCUGUGGCUGGGGGUGAAAGGCCAAUCAAACCGGGAGAUAGCUGGUUCUCCCCGAAAGCUAUUUAGGUAGCGCCUCGUGAAUUCAUCUCCGGGGGUAGAGCACUGUUUCGGCUAGGGGGCCAUCCCGGCUUACCAACCCGAUGCAAACUGCGAAUACCGGAGAAUGUUAUCACGGGAGACACACGGCGGGUGCUAACGUCCGUCGUGAAGAGGGAAACAACCCAGACCGCCAGCUAAGGUCCCAAAGUCAUGGUUAAGUGGGAAACGAUGUGGGAAGGCCCAGACAGCCAGGAUGUUGGCUUAGAAGCAGCCAUCAUUUAAAGAAAGCGUAAUAGCUCACUGGUCGAGUCGGCCUGCGCGGAAGAUGUAACGGGGCUAAACCAU